UAAGCGGAGGAAAAGAAACCAACAGGGAUUGCCUCAGUAACGGCGAGUGAAGCGGCAAAAGCUCAAAUUUGAAAUCCUUCGGGAGUUGUAAUUUGUAGGUUGGGAGACCCCGCGGCUAGUGGCACCAAGUCCCUUGGAACAGGGCGCCUUAGAGGGUGAGAGCCCCGUAGGUACCACAAUACCGUCUUGUGUCUCCUCUCCAAAGAGUCGAGUUGUUUGGGAAUGCAGCUCAAAGUGGGUGGUAAAUUCCAUCUAAAGCUAAAUACCGGCGAGAGACCGAUAGCGAACAAGUACAGUGAUGGAAAGAUGAAAAGCACUUUGAAAAGAGAGUGAAACAGUACGUGAAAUUGUUGAAAGGGAAGGGCUUGCAAGCAGACACGGCCUUCGUGCCGGGCCAGCAUCGGUUGCUAGGGGUGGAUAAGGAACAAGGAAUGUAGCUCCUCGGAGUAUUAUAGCCUUGCGCGAUACACCCACUGGCGACCGAGGCCUGCGGUAUUCUUUACCUAGGAUGCUGGCGUAAUGGUUGCAAGCCGCCCGUCUUGAA
rnacentral:rRNA from 1 species